rnacentral:lncRNA from 1 species
AACUGACAAAAGCUUUAGAAGAGCUUAAAGAUCAACUGUUAUGCUGGCCUUUAUAGGAAAAGGCCCAGCACAGAAUCACACGGUCUCUGCCCUGCUGAGGAAGCUCCCACCCUGCUACAGAAAGCCAUGUGGUCUCAUGCCUGUAGAGGCUUCAUCCCUCAUGACUGGCAUAGGCCACUCAGCAAACAACAGCUUACCUAUGGCACGGAGCUUCUCCGGAGAGAUGCUGAAAGCAAUGAAAUGUCACUGUGAGAGUAUAACUAGCCAACUAUUGGGGGAAAAAGAGCAAUGAAAUAUUACAGAACAUGCAGUUUUCUCCUGAGAAAGCACAGCUCUUCAGUCAAUAGGCUCCACAAGCCUCCUUCUCCUCCCCUGCUCUCC